UUGUACUCAUUUUGACAACAUAUAUACUGAAAUUGGAACAAAGAGAAGAAUAACAUUUCCCCUGAACAAGGAUGACAUGUAAAUACAUAAAGAAUUCCAUUUUUUA
ensembl:snRNA U6 U6 spliceosomal RNA